CGGCAGGCGACGGGAGGUCACGGAGGGCCGCCCGCGGCCGGGUGGGCGGGAGCGGGGCGCGCCUCGCUCUUGCAGAAGCAAAGGAACGCAUCCUUACGCGUGAUUCUAGCUCCCUGCCCGCGAGGUGGAGAGAGACUGAAACCUCUACAAACUGCUAUGUUGAUCUCCAGGAAGAUCUGCAGCACUAAAUGCACCCAACAGGAGUCUUCCAUCAGAAAAGAGGGAUCUGGGUUGGUGACCUGGACUUAGUUUGGACAAAGAAAUAGGACUAUGCUUCGGAUAAAAGUGUUUGACCAUUCUAUACACUCAUCACCGGUGUACUGCUGAGCCUGUGUCCCUAUACUUUGAUGACUGCUAACAUUUUAGUAUUUUGACAUUUGCUGACCUGAUAAUAGACGAAAAUAGGAUUCUUCCAUCGUAUAAUGAAUUUAUCCCCGUGACUUCAUGAGACUAUUUACCAGUAGGCCGUGAUGGACCUGGUCCCACUUCCCAGCGAGGAGGCCAGAACCAGUGUGAAACACAUACGCCCCUCACAUCCCCAGAGGGAAGAUCAGAAGACUACAGCACAAAGACCAUAAGGAUCCAGGCAAAGGUCACAGAGCCGAUAAGUAAUAUCACCAGACAACAUGAAGGUGUGAGUUAUUCAGCUGCAUCUCCAAGGGAAAAAGACCAAGAAAAAAGCUAACAUCUGCAACCUUUUACAAAAAGUACUCGCCUUUCAAGAACACUGAUAUUUUCCAGGUAUUUACGGAUGUGCUAGAUUCUCAUGUGUUUUGGGGCUGGCUCAGAAGGUUAAAAGAUGUGUGGUCAAAUGCUUCAAAAAUAAAGUGACACAAAUUACACCCCUUAUCGCUCUAUGUCCACGUGUGAAACGAAACAUUAAAAACUGACAAAAAUAAACUGAGUAAACACUUUUAACCUUUCAACUGACUUAUAAAAUGGUAAUCGCUAAGCAAAAGAUUUGUUUAAUAAAAGCAACCUAUUUUUAUAUGAUGUAAGAACUUUUCAAGGAUGAGGAAACUGAAGAAAAUAACUGGCAAGUUACUUGCUUGAUUUCGCCUACUAACACCCAAUAUUGAAUUAGAUUUUCCUAUUUCUUUUUUAACAUAAGGAGUUCCAAUACUAGGCCUGUCCCCUACUUUUUGUAGUUGCUCUACCCGGUGCUAAAAUGAAACAUCUCACCUAUCCUGGCCUGGCCAGUUCCCCAGGCCGGGUUUUGGGACUCCGGAUACACGCACCGUCCUAAGGAGGCCUGGGGAGUGAAAUAACUGACCGCAUAAAUAUGUUUCAACCAGCAGGCAUUCAAGUAAGUGAGAGACUAGUUACGAAAAUACUUCCUCAAAGUCACAGAGCCGUGGACAAAGGUAGUAAGGAAUAUUAAGAAAGACUGCUUGCGUAGCAUUUCACAUAACCUUGAGGAAACUUCAAUUGACAACAUAAGGGAGAGGGGCCACUGAUUAAGGCUCACUUUCUUGUGAGGAACAGUAAGAUAGCAACAAGGCCAAUUAAAAUGUUUUCAACACUAUUGAUAUGAAACAGCAACAUCCUUUAGUUUUUUUAGUGCAGCAUAUAAAAUACUGCCAUCUAGUGACUAACCUAAAAAUUACCAUUUCACUGUUAAUUCAGGAUGCAACAAUUCACUGAAAUUAACGGAGUUAAUACAUUUAAUUUCAGUUAAUUUCAACUCACUGAAAUUAAAUAUAUGUUGCAUAUUCUCCUAUGAAUUAUGCAAUAUGCAAGACACAAUGAGUAUCUUCCAAUUUUUUAAUAAUUUAAUAAACCAACUAAAUGGCAAAGACGAUGUCAAUUCUCAGCCAGAAGUAUUCUAUUAAAGAAAUUAAUGUAAUAGUUCAUCAAGAAAGAGCUGAGAGCAUGUAAAUAAUUCAGUCUUUUUAAUUUGUUAAUUAAUUAGCUAGCUAGCUUAUUAAAAACAGUUCAAUGUAUUUUUACAUUUAGAUCUAACUUGAUAAUAUAUGUAAUCACCAGCAUGGAAAGAAAUCGGAUGAAAGACCAAAUUCAGCCUCCACAUCUUAUAGUUUAUGUUCUGAACUACCUGACUUACCUUUCUAUUUAAUUAUUACACUUAAAGAAGCAAUUAUACAUUCAUAUAAAUUUGAAAACAAGACAAGACCAAAACCUCACAUACCACAUUGAAUCUUAGCUCGCUGUACACAAGGCAUAAGGAAGUUAACUGCACACAGUCCUGCGGAGGGGAUGGAAGCCUCACACAGCUGUCCCAGAAAUGCCUCCUUGCUGGCCACUGGAGCAGCACUGCUCUCAGUUCAAAGCCCAGGACAGAAGGCACAUUUCCCAGCAGAUGUGAACAGAUGCCUUCCCAAAAACUGGCCAGAGGAAACGUGCGUGCAGACAGGAAAUGCCCAAGCAACGCUGUGAGCAACUCAAGCUAGAGAAAGGGAAAGAAAGAGAAAGAACGGAGACAGAGAUCUCAAAGUAGCUGUAGGGACAAGGAACAAGAAGUGCCACUCCUGGGCUCCUGAGAGGAGACAGACACGCUGUAGUGCACUCGAGGUAAACAGGGUCUCUUUGAAGCAUGCGUUUCAUUUAUUGGAUAAGGAAAGUAAGUAAGCAAAGACCAACAAAGUCCUGUGUUUACUAAUAAGGAUCCUGAAACAGAGAUUUCCACCACAAACAUAAGAAGAGGGCCAUCUGAACUUAGGAAGAGAUGAAAUAUUGAGCCAGACUGUAAAAACCCUCAUAAGUAAGGCAAUCUAGGACCUGGCACUGGUAUCCUCUGACACUGCAGGACAGUCAGAGGACUUUCACAGUUAGUCAGGACACUAUCUCUUUCUACUGUCUUUUGUAUACAACACUCUCUUUAUGUAUGCUCACAGGUGUAUAUGCUGUGUACAUGUGCAUACGUACAUGCAUGCACAGAGAACUGGACUCAUUUAUGUUUACUUAUAUUUAUAUUUAAUUGCUCUUUUGAAUUUGGGUUCAGUCAUUCUCAACAAGUUAUUUUUUAACAGAAAUACCCAGAGGAAGAAUCUAUUCUUCUCCUCCCUCACUCCAACCUUCCCCUUCUCCUUCCCCCUC